AUGAGGGUGGAACCAUGGGAAUGGAACCAUGAGAAUGGAACCAUGAGGGUGGUACCUGGGAAUGGAACCAUGAGGGUGGAACCAUGGGAAUGGAACCAUGAUAAUGGAACCAUGAGGGUGGAACCAUGGGAAUGGAACCAUGAGAAUGGAACCAUGAGGAUGGAACCAUGAGAAUGGAACAAUGGGAAUGGAACCAUGAGAAUGGAACCAUGGGAAUGGAACCAUGAGAAUGGAACCAUGAGGGUGGAACCAUGAGAAUGGAACCAUGAGGGUGGAACCAUGGGAAUGGAACCAUGAGAAUGGAACCAUGAGGGUGGAACCAUGAGAAUGGAACCAUGAGGAUGGAACCAUGGGAAUGGAACCAUGAGAAUGGAACCAUGAGGAUGGAACCAUGAGAAUGGAACCAUGAG
ensembl:lncRNA